GUGGGGAAUUUUGGACAAUGGGCGAAAGCCUGAUCCAGCAAUGCCGCGUGCAGGAUGAAGGCCCUCGGGUUGUAAACUGCUUUUGUACGGAACGAAAAGCCUGGGGCUAAUAUCCCCGGGUCAUGACGGUACCGUAAGAAUAAGCACCGGCUAACUACGUGCCAGCAGCCGCGGUAAUACGUAGGGUGCAAGCGUUAAUCGGAAUUACUGGGCGUAAAGCGUGCGCAGGCGGUUUUGUAAGACAGUGGUGAAAUCCCCGGGCUCAACCUGGGAACUGCCAUUGUGACUGCAAGGCUAGAGUGCGGCAGAGGGGGAUGGAAUUCCGCGUGUAGCAGUGAAAUGCGUAGAUAUGCGGAGGAACACCGAUGGCGAAGGCAAUCCCCUGGGCCUGUACUGACGCUCAUGCACGAAAGCGUGGGGAGCAAACAGGAUUAGAUACCCUAGUAGUCC
rnacentral:rRNA from 1 species